rnacentral:rRNA from 1 species
GUGUCAGCAGCCGCGGUAAUACAGAGGGUGCGAGCGUUAAUCGGAUUUACUGGGCGUAAAGCGUGCGUAGGCGGCCAAUUAAGUCAAAUGUGAAAUCCCCGAGCUUAACUUGGGAAUUGCAUUCGAUACUGGUUGGCUAGAGUAUGGGAGAGGAUGGUAGAAUUCUAGGUGUAGCGGUGAAAUGCGUAGAGAUCUGGAGGAAUACCGAUGGCGAAGGCAGCCAUCUGGCCUAAUACUGACGCUGAGGUGCGAAAGCGUGGGGAGCAAACAGGAUUAGAAACCCCUGUAGUCC